ACCCUUUCUGAUCACUGCAGAACAGCCUUUGGAUAUACUCUGUAGAAUGGUUUUUCUCUCUUGAUAUGAAAUGAUUUUAAGAGAAGCUAAUGGAAGAGGAGAGUCAAACUUCUUUCCCCAGUGUACCAGCUGCAAGAGAAGAGGUUGGAGUUUGUUUUUCAUAGAAUCUCAGGUAGUCUCUUUAUUUUGCUACGAGAUGCAGACAGAUCACUUUGCCAGCUGUCAAGGCAAAUAUUGCUGUAUAGUCCUUGGUCUCAACAACAUAUUUAGUAUCCUGGUGAUGGGUGCCUUCAAAGGACUGGACAGAACAAACUUCAUACUGCACCUGUGUUUUAGGUUCUCUGCUCUGAGGUGACCCAGUCUGCUGUUGCCCUCUGUUUGCCCACCACCCUGCUGAAGUCCAUCCUUCUUGGUACCCCUCACACUGGUCCUCUUCAGCUACUCCAGACAAAGGGCAAACUGUCAGCUUUGUGAUCUCACCAUCUACCUCCUUGAAUCCUGAAGAUUUGUCGUCUUUUGUACUACCUCUCUGUGGAUGAAUCAUAACCUUUUCCAAAUGAAUAUAUUAUAGAUGAGGCCAGCCCUAAUAUCUGGGAGUAGUAUUUUCUAGAAUCAUGUAAGGCAUACAAAUACAUAGACAGAUUUUCUCUCCAGCGGAUAUCUUGUUCUUAGAGCUAUUGCCUUUGAAACUCUCCUUGAUCUUUCAAAUAAUAUUUCCCCAUUUCCUAGAUGCAUUCUAUUUGUCAGAUGUAACCCAGCUAUGGAAUAGCUAGUUUUCAAGCAGUCAGCUAUCCUGUAGCCUACUCAAGCUGUAUGUAAAUGUUUUUUCAUGAUUUGCGAAAAUUUGUAUUUUGUUUAAAUGAUUAAAAAAAAAAAAAAGCACUCCCAGCUCCUACUACACUACCUUCCAAUAUUAGAAACAAAGCAAAGCUCUUCUCUUACAUCAUGGGAGAUUUUAUUUUCCUUUCUAGAGGGUUGCAUUUUUGGAGGGAGAGGGAAAGAAAUGGAAAAGAGGUAUCAGUCUCUGAAUAAGAAGUCCUGUUUUUUCUUAUGUAAAAGUUCUUCAGGAACAAAACUGGUUAAUUUUAUGAUGUGACUACUAAAAACUUUUAAAAAUCAUACAAUGGGAUAUCAAAACUGAUU
rnacentral:lncRNA from 1 species